AGCGUUGUUCGGAAUCACUGGGCUUAAAGAGCACGUAGGCGGUCUGUCAAGCGUCUUGUGAAAGCCCUCGGCUCAACCGGGGAAUUGCUUGGCGAACUGGCAGACUUGAGGCAGGUAGGGGCAGUUGGAACUCUUGGUGGACCGGUGGAAUGCGUAGAUAUCAAGAGGAACGCCAGAGGCGAAGGCGAACUGCUGGGCCUGUCCUGACGCUGAGGUGCGAAAGCCAGGGUAGCGAACGGGAUUAGAUACCCCGGUAGUCCUGGCCCUAAACGAUGUCCACUAGAUCGAGGAUUCUCUGAAGGAUUCUUGGUCGAAAUGAAAACGUUAAGUGGACCGCCUGGGGAGUACGGUCGCAAGGCUAAAACUCAAAGGAAUUGACGGGGGCUCACACAAGCGGUGGAGCAUGUUGCUUAAUUCGAUGCAACGCGAAGAACCUUAUCCUGGGCUUGACAUGCUUGGAUGCCCAUCUGGAAACAGAGUAGGCUGCCCUUCGGGGUGAAACUUGCACAGGUGCUGCAUGGCUGUCGUCAGCUCGUGUCGUGAGAUGUCGGGUUAAGUCCCAUAACGAGCGAAACCCUUGUCACUAGUUGCCAGCGCGUAAUGGCGGGGACUCUAGUGAGACUGCCGGUGUUAAACCGGAGGAAGGUGGGGAUGACGUCAAGUCCUCAUGGCCUUUAUGCCCAGGGCUGCAAACGUGCUACAAUGGCCGGUACAAACCGAAGCGAAACGGCGACGUGGAGCAAAUCGGAAAAAGCCGGCCUCAGUUCGGAUUGGAGUCUGCAACUCGACUCCAUGAAGUCGGAAUCGCUAGUAAUCGCGUAUCAGAACGACGCGGUGAAUGAGUUCCUGAGCAUUGUACACACCGCCCGUCAAGUCAUGGAAGCCGAGAGCACCCGAAGUCGGGGUAUUCAGCCCUGCACUAAGGUGAGCCCGGUGACUGGGACUAAGUCGU
rnacentral:rRNA from 1 species